rnacentral:rRNA from 1 species
AUUGUAAGCACUUUAAGUUGGGAGGAAGGGUUGUAGAUUAAUACUCUGCAAUUUUGACGUUACCGACAGAAUAAGCACCGGCUAACUCUGUGCCAGCAGCCGCGGUAAU